AUGAUGAGCAUCUAUUGGAGUCGAUCAUUUCCAAGAUCUAAUUCUAGUUUCUUAUUAUGUAGUGGAAACGCCUCACAAUCUUCAGUUUUACGCUUACGCUUAAGGGAAGAAAUGUUCUUGGUGGAUGCAGGCCCUGGUACCCCCAAAAUUUGUAUGCAAGAUGAGCUUACAGGACUGCCAAUCAAGCGAGCCACCAGGUUUGAGAAUAAGGUGGGAUCCAAGAAUGUAGUGGCUGGUGAAUCACUGAUCAAAAAGCGGAUUUUUGAGAGAUUCUUCAUCGAUCUAGUGGCCGGUGAAUCACUGAUCAAAGAGCGAGCAGCCGCCAGGUUUAAUGAUUUUGUGGGAUCCCUGGAUGUAGCGGCUGGCGAACCGCUUCUUCUUCCACAAAGAUUCAGACAAAACCGAGCUUGGAUAGAACUGAAGAAGAUUUGGCGAACGAAGAAAAAGGUCCAAGGGUUUAUUAUAAAAAAUCAAAGGAGGUUAUUCAGUAGCCAUCGCGGGUUUCAUUACUUUUCUUCCAUUCAAAAAAGCUCUUCUAAAAAAAAGGAUAGCGAAUGA
rnacentral:rRNA from 1 species